rnacentral:ncRNA from 1 species
UUAAAUGUAGGGACAAGUAUAUAUAUGACCAAUUGAUAACAGCGAUCUGGGGUAGUGAAAGCCAGAACAACGUUAUAUAUAGAAAUCACCCGAUUACCUUAUCUUUUGAAGUUAUUAGUAGAAAGAUACGUAAGCCUGCGUUAAAGGCAUAAGUGAUUACAUUUGAGUUUGUCUUAUGAUAAAUUCAGAAUUUGUUUUUAUGAUAAAUUCUCAUGUAGUUAUUAGGGUGGUACCGCGGGUAAACCUCGUCCCUUUG